rnacentral:rRNA from 1 species
AUGACCCUAAUCAGACUUCCAAGAAAACCCGCUAAGCGUUUACAAUAAAGCUGCCCGUACCGCAAACCGACACAGGUAGUCGAGGAGAGCAUCCUAAGGCGCUCGAGUGAAUCACGGCCAAGGAACUCGGCAAAAUGGCCCUGUAACUUCGGGAGAAGGGGCGCUUCCUCCAGCGAUGGAGAAGCCGCAGUGAAAAGGCCCAGGCGACUGUUUAACAAAAACACAUGGCUUUGCGAAAUCGAAAGAUGAAGUAUAAGGCCUGACACCUGCCCGGUGCUGGAAGGUUAAGAGGGGGGGUUAGCCGCAAGGCGAAGCUCUGAAUCGAAGCCCCAGUAAACGGCGGCCGUAACUAUAACGGUCCUAAGGUAGCGAAAUUCCUUGUCGGGUAAGUUCCGACCUGCACGAAUGGUGUAACGAUCUGGGCGCUGUCUCAGCCGUGAGCUCGGUGAAAUUGUAGUCUCGGUGAAGAUGCCGAGUACCCGCAACGGGACGGAAAGACCCCGUGCACCUUUACUAUAGCUUAACAUUGACUCUGGGUAACUCAUGUGUAGGAUAGGUGGGAGUCUGUGAAGCGGUGUCGCUAGGCAUCGUGGAGACAACGUUGAAAUACCACCCUUGAGUUGCUUGGAGCCUAAUCUCGAAAGGGAGACAUUGUUUGGUGGGUAGUUUGACUGGGGUGGUCGCCUCCAAAAGAGUAACGGAGGCUUUCAAAGGUACCCUCAGCACGCUUGGUAACCGUGCGCAGAGUGCAAUAGCAGAAGGGUGCUUGACUGUGAGGCCUACAAGCCGAGCAGGGUCGAAAGACGGAUAUAGUGAUCCGGUGGUUCCGCAUGGAAGGGCCAUCGCUCAAAGGAUAAAAGGUACGCCGGGAUAACAGGCUGAUCUCCCCCAAGAGCACAUAUCGACGGGGAGGUUUGGCACCUCGAUGUCGGCUCGUCACGUCCUGGGGCUGGAGAAGGUCCCAAGGGUUCGGCUGUUCGCCGAUUAAAGUGGCACGCGAGCUGGGUUCAGAACGUCGUGAGACAGUUCGGUCCCUAUCUGUUGUGGGCGUUAGAAGUUUGAGAGGACCUGACCUUAGUACGAGAGGACCGGGUUGGACAAGCCGCUGGUGCACCUGUUGUAUCGCCAGAUGCAGCGCAGGGUAGCUACGCUUGGUCGAGAUAAGCGCUGAAAGCAUCUAAGUGCGAAACUCACCUCAAGAUGAGACUUCUUUUAAGGGCCGUUAUAGAUGAUGACGUUGAUAGGAAGCAGGUGUAAAGUCAGAAAUGACACAGCCGAGCUUUACUAAUUGCCC